rnacentral:rRNA from 1 species
GCUUACGGCCAUACCACCCUGAGAACGCCCGAUCUCGUCUGAUUUCGGAAGCUAUGCAGGGUCGGGCCUGGUUAGUGCUUGGAUGGGAGACCGCCUGGGAAUACCAGAUGCUGUAAGCU